AUCUUCCACAAUGGACGCAAGUCUGAUGGAGCAACGCCGCGUGAGUGAAGAAGGGUUUCGUGUCGUAAAGCUCUGUUGUUAAAGAAGAACGUGGGUAAGAGUAAUUGUUUACCCAGUGACGGUAUUUAACCAGAAAGCCACGGCUAACUACGUGCCAGCAGCCGCGGUAAUACGUAGGUGGCAAGCGUUAUCCGGAUUUAUUGGGCGUAAAGCGAGCGCAGGCGGUCUUUUAAGUCUAAUGUGAAAGCCUUCGGCUCAACCGAAGAAGUGCAUUGGAAACUGGGAGACUUGAGUGCAGAAGAGGACAGUGGAACUCCAUGUGUAGCGGUGAAAUGCGUAGAUAUAUGGAAGAACACCAGUGGCGAAGGCGGCUGUCUGGUCUGCAACUGACGCUGAGGCUCGAAAGCAUGGGUAGCGAACAG
rnacentral:rRNA from 1 species